GGUAAAUGCGUCACUGGAGAAGGGAAGGUGGAUUUUUGCAGUUCCACGUGCCUGGCACAAGGAUAUCAUUUGGUAUACACUGCAAAAGAACAGAAAGAAGAGACUGAAAUAGAGACUGGCACAACAAUGUUCUUAGCAGGAUUAUCCACAAUAGCCAAAGGUGGAAACAGCCCGAAUGUGCAUCAACAGAUGAGUGAAUUAAUAAAAUGUGAUAUAUGCAUACAAUGGAAUUUUCAACCAUAAAAA